rnacentral:piRNA from 1 species
UGCCAAGAAACGGGAUCUCUUCUCCA